GUGAUGAAGAAUUUGUCACUAAAAGGCAUAUUUCCCUGGUCUGUUUGUUCUUCGCUCACAAGCUACAAUCCCUUACAACGACAGACUAUUGCUUUAUGUGUUCGAGUAUUGAGUAUUGGUUAUUCUACUUUUAACGGAAAGAGACAGACCGACGACAGAAACAUCUACAUUCGUUCACAUCAACUUCGCACUCUCUCUAACUUAAUUUGCUCUCCAUGGACGAUACUAUUUGAUCUUGACCUUCUACACUACCUAUUAUCACUAUCAACCGACGCGGACAAGCUGAGAAUGCGGUUUGCUUCGAGUGAAUACGCGUGAUGCCGUAUUCGAAUUUUGGAACGUGCUUUUGGACUUCGUUAAAUCCGUUGCAGCAACUUCAUUGACCUGGGCAUUUCUACCACGGGCCACACUGUCUUUGGAUAGAGAUCUUACUCCGGCACCGGUCAUGGCGUUCUUAUAAUCAAACCGGAGAUUACGCCAGAUGAUAUUGAACUUCCUGCGGUCCGAGAUUGAACGAGUCAUCGAAUGGAAAAUUUUCAUCAUAUCGUGAAGAUAAUCAGUAAAUUUUUCCCCCCUAGACUGCCGUCUCUCAGUUGCUUGUACUUCCAGCUGAAAGUCCAAAUCGGGUGGCAAAAAUUCCCGUUUUAAUUCUUUUUUCAGCUCAUGCCAAUUCCGAAAAUCCCUAUUCUCGGUUCCCUCAAUGAACCAGUCUUUUGCGCGCCCCGCAAAAAGAUGAAUGGCACUCCUGUAUAGCUCUUUCUCUGUGAUGUCCUCAGAGAUGCAUCUCAUUUUAACUUCCUUUAGGAACUCAGUUAGCUUUCUUCCCUGAUCUUUUCCAUCAUACUUUAAUCUCCAUUCAGCUACCGGAAUUCUCUUCAAUUCCCUCUUUCUUCUACCUUCUCUCCUCCCUCUCUCCCUUUUAUGUCCUACA